rnacentral:ncRNA from 1 species
AGGCGCCUGCCCCUCGUGAUCGUCUUCUCACCUUUCACGGCGGCGGGGAGCCCGAGCACCACGAAGGCCCCCACGUGACACACGUGGGGGCCUUCG